rnacentral:lncRNA from 1 species
CUAUGAGUAUCUACGACUCGAUCUAACUCGUAACACCGUAUAUCGGUGUUACGCUAACUCGAGGGUUUCAUAACCCUCUACGACACUCUAACACAACACUCUAACCUGAGCCCUGGUGACUUAGUGUUCCUCCUCUAUCCUCGGCAAUAUCCUAUCUUCCUACCACAAAGGCCAGAAGAAGGAACUUUCAACCGAACGCGGCCCACAGUACGUUCGGGUCACCGCGCGACAGCCCCAGUACGUUCGGGACACUGCCGGUUGUCACACGACGAUUGCGGCCCACAGUACGUUCGGGUCACCGCAAGACAGCCCACAGUACGUUCGGGUCACUGCCGGUCACUACCCCGUCGUGCAACCACUCAGCCAUAGGCCAUGACCCCGUCUCUCUGAGUGUUCUCGAUCCAACGAACAAGGGGUUUCCUUAAACCCACUGGGUACGAGGUCGAGGAAACACUAAUCCACCUCAAACAUGCCUAGCAUUGUGGGUUACACAAAUGCUAUAUGGCCAAUACACUCUAACUCUACAACACUAACAACAAUAUCAUCACUAAACAACUCAACCAGUUAGUCACUCCCUUACCAAGAGCUGACUAACCUCAAUCAACAAGCAUUAAUUAACAAGCAAGCAUUUAAUUAAAUCUACUCAAUCAAACCGUUACCCAGAUAGUUCGGCCUCCUGCUACGACACUAUCUUUAAAGAUAACGGGAACCUGCACUCAACCAUACCAACACGCAAGAAUAGAAAACAUGAUGCAUCCUAUUCUUAGUCCUAAUCAGGUUAUCAACUCAGUCUUAAUUCAAUUCAUCUCAGCUUAGCCCUUGCUAAACUGAGUCCGGUUCCAUAAAUAAAAAUAACCCUAGGACUCUAUCAUGCAUUAGUGUGAUAUUACUACUCUAUAUGCAGACUCGAUCUACCCUAAAUUCCAAGUGGAAUUCAAACAAACCAACUCACAAAACUACCCUAAAUUCCAAGUGGAAUUCACACAAGCCAACUCACAGUGUUCUAGGCGAGAAGCUGCUGGUUGAUCGAAGAGGACUUGGCCAAAACCCAAGGGACACCUUGACUGGACUGGACUAAACUGACCUCGACUUGGACAGACCCUCAGCUUGAUCAUGAAGACACUAACAGGUCUGGACGGCCUGAUCUGGACAGAACCUCCUUUAGCUCUUGGACAGUUCUUCGGACUUCCCGGCGGAGUAUCGAGCAGAACUUCGACUGAUCUGAACCCGUGGUUCUGAACUAACUCUGGGCAGCACCUCCACUUGACCAUCAUAGAAUAUGACUGGCUUGGACGAAUUGAAUUGGACAGAGCUUCCGCGUCACAAUCGUAAAGAAUCGACGAUUGGACGGAACUGGCCUUCUCGGUGGAGUAUCGGUCUUCAGAAUCGACCAUACUCUAGAUCGACCACUUUCUUUAUCUCUCUCUCUCCAUAGACACGUUGACUUGCUUCCCAUCUGAAUUGAUAUUCAAUUGGUUGAUCUUCAGUUGGCCAGAACCUUCCCUAGGCGCUGACUUGAAAUCAGUAGAAUAACUGUUCUCGAAAACUGCCGAAAAGACUCGAAAACGAUCGAACUCGAACUUUCUUUCUCUAGCUUUCUCUCUCACGUUUUUCUCUGAGUUUCAGGUGUGCUGGAUGGUUUGAAAUGAGCUGGGGUCGUGGGGUAUUUAUAGGAGACACCAGCCAAUCAGCUUCAGGUUGGUGGCAGCCCGUGUGUCGCUCUGCAUGGCUCCGGACGCAUGCACGGCGACACCUCGGGCUCCACAUGGCUGGCUGCAUGUCCAGGACACAUGCAGGACUCCACCACUCCUCCCAGAUGUCAGGCUGCAUGACUGGAGCUCAUGCAAGGCGCCACACAUCCUCACACAUGUUGAUCAGCAUGCUUCGGUUGCAUGCGUCGCGACAUCUCGUGCUUGGCCAAUCCACUUCGUGCUUCUACAUGUCAAGCUGCAUGUGCAGCUUCCAUGCACGGCGACACCUUGAGCUUCUCUUGACACUCAGCUGGUUAGACAGUUGCCACCACGUUCAUAUCCCUUAGAUUAAGCCACCUCGAGCUUCUCGGUUCCUUUGCGCGAUUUAGACCCUUCUUGUGAAUUUCUGACCCGCAAUCAAUCCCGAAUAUUUUUCCCCUCCCAUUCUGAUUCUCUGAAUAUUUUUAAUAAACUACAGAUGAUGUCUGAUAUCCUUUAAAAAUAUUUCCCGAGCCUCCAGCUUCCUCAAAGAAUUUCGUAAUACCGAAAUUAGGGUUUUCGCCCAACUCCGGGUUUUCCUGUCGUUCUUCAAUCCUGUCGUGCUUGCUUCCCGUCGUGCUUGCUUCCCGUCCUGCUUAAUUCCCGUCCUGCUUCCGACUUAUAAUUUCUUCAGAAUAAUAUUUUACUGAUACGAAGAUAUUCCGAGAAAACUUCGCGAUGAAGAAACGUCAAUCUUCCAAAACGUCGAGCUUCUAAACCGUCGUGCUUCAAAAAUGUAAUUCUUCCAAAACUGCCGUAUGAUCAAUCUAAGACAUUUCUAACAAUGGUAGAGCAGCUUAUCUCAACUCAUGCUUCACUCACGAUCCAUUCUUCGACCUUCUCGUACUUCAAAUUUCCCGAUCGAUCUGUAUUGCCCGCGACUCAACCACAAAGAUACUCGACCAUUCUCUCUCUCUUUUUUUUUUUUAACGGGUUUCUACAUUCUCCCCCCCUUAAUAGAAUUCGUCCUCGAAUUCUUAGUUGCGCAAUUGCUCGUCUUCACAACAUUCUCCACUUGUUUCCAUAACCUCUUUACUCUGUCCACCACGGUUCCUUGAGUGUCCUCUUCAAGGUCUCGACAAUGGUCUUCAUAUCUCUUGACUGAGUCGUCCUCUUCCUCUUAUUCUGCCAUAACACCUUGAUUGUCCAUGAUACUAUCUUGUCCCGAUUCCACAAAUCCUUUCUCGAUCUUCGUCUUCCCAACUACUGAUGAAGUCCUUUCCCAACGAAGUUUUGUUUACUCCCAUCUGUCCAGUCCAUACCACAGCCCAGUCCCUCUGAACCUGUCUCUCCUCUCUUUGCUUCGGGUUUGGGUUUGGCCUCGAACUCCCUCCACUUUAAAGUUUCAUCCCUUAAAGUUCCGAUCAACAAACAUACUUACUCGCUGCAACUCAAAAGAACACUAAACAUGCAAGUUAGUAAUUAAUCACAUAAUCUACUAACCUAGCAAAUACUAACAAUGCAACCUAACCGCAAUUCUAACCAGCAACCUAGCAGUUCUACCCAAGCAACCUAACAGUUCUAGAUUCCACUAUCUCAAUCCUAAUUCCUAAAACAAUAAUCCUAAGCUGGACGUGACCGGUUUACCUAAUGCCUUUUGUGACUCUUUUUGACUCGAAAAAUAUUUGAAAACCGAUUAAAUCAUGAGUUCCGGAAGCAUGGACGAAACCAUGCUCUGAUACCACCUCUGUAACACCCCCGAACCGUCCUAGACAUAUGGUCGAUCAACCGGCCAACAAUCAAACAAGAACAUGACCGAUCGACCGUACAAUACCCAGGGUUGGAGAUGAAAGGCCAACCGGCCAGCCAACAAUCAAACAAGAACAUGACUGACCGUCCAACCCAACACCAUGGUCCGGAAGCGCUACGUGACGGGCUAGGGACAAUCCGGUCAGAGUCACAAACUUUACUCCACGACCUAGACCAGUUCAUCCACUAACUUGUCCCGCUGCAUCAAGGCAUAAGGCUUUGCAACCCGUACCUAGAGUUAGCGUUUUCCGUUAGAUCGAGGCCUAAGGCUUUUCAACCCGUACUACGACCUAACGUUGUGUUAGACCGGACUAGUCAAAUAUCAGAGUACUCAUGAAGCGCAUAUAAAACAAUUACUUUAUUGAUUCGAGAAAUAUCCAUACAUUGAUAUAAUUCGAGACCGGUCCCGGCCUAAUGCCAAAUCGAGUCAACUAAACGCAAAUCCACAAUACCGUUUACAAAAGGCAUGAAAAUCUACACCGGCGGUCCUAACUUCCAGCACCAAGCUAUCCGAUCAUCCUUACCUAAAGCGACCUGCAAAAAGGACAACGGAGUUGGAUGAGUAACCUAAUGUUACUCAGUGAGCUGGCGGCCUCUACCCGCAACCUAGACUCUAACCCAGACAACCCAAAAUAACAAUCAAUCUAGCCCUAGCAUGCAAUAAAAGCUAGGGCUAAGCAAACCGUUACUAAGUUAGACUUGGCCUCCUGCCAUGAUCUAGCUUCAAGUAACGGGAACCUGCAUAAAAACAAGUCAACAACCAAUCCCUAGUUAACCAUAUAUACGCCUGAGUUCAGUACUCAUGUAGUGUUAGACACUUAGACUAUACAAGUAUCACUAGUCGAUCGACCAACAAUCAAACAAGAACAUGAUCGACCAACCAAUGAUACCGCAUAGCUUUAAUAUCCACCACCCUUCACAAGCAAUCCCUCAAACACAUACAGGCCAACGUCAGGCCUACAAUAACCAAAUACACACCAAGCCUAAUCCGGUACCUAAGCCAGACUUAGGACUUAAUGUCAGAACCUGCAAGCAAAUCAAUCAACCACAAACACAAUCACAAUAAUAAGACUAUGAGUAUCUACGACUCGAUCUAACUCGUAACACCGUAUAUCGGUGUUACGCUAACUCGAGGGUUUCAUAACCCUCUACGACACUCUAACACAACACUCUAACCUGAGCCCUGGUGACUUAGUGUUCCUCCUCUAUCCUCGGCAAUAUCCUAUCUUCCUACCACAAAGGCCAGAAGAAGGAACUUUCAACCGAACGCGGCCCACAGUACGUUCGGGUCACCGCGCGACAGCCCCAGUACGUUCGGGACACUGCCGGUUGUCACACGACGAUUGCGGCCCACAGUACGUUCGGGUCACCGCAAGACAGC